GAUAUAUUUCUGAUCGGGGACAACACUGUGAACUGUUCAUCUUCAGAUGCUGCAGGAAACACUGACACUUGUCUUCUCGUUGUCACAGUAACAGAUGAUGAAGCCCCUAUUCUGAACUGCCCAAAUAUAUCUUCAACUACCGAUGAGGGACUCAAUUCUUCAUCUACUGUUCUGCUAAGUUCAACUGCAACUGAUAAUGUGGAUUUUGAUCUAGAUGUGAAUUGCUCCCAUUCAUCUGAAGAUAUAUUCCUGAUCGGGGACACCACUGUGAACUGUUCAUCUUCAGAUGCUGCAGGAAACACUGAAACUUGCCUUCUAGUUGUCACAGUAUCAGAUGAUGAAGC
rnacentral:lncRNA from 1 species